rnacentral:lncRNA from 1 species
UUCAGGACCAUCAUCAGCAUGCAAACCAGGUCGCAGCACCACAGGAGCUCCAUCCACCACUGCAGAUUCCAAAUUGAGUAAUCAGGUGUCAACAAUUGUAAGUCUGCUCUCAACACUUUGCAGAGGCUCUCCGGUAGUAACACAUGAUCUUCUGAGGUCGGAGCUUCCAGAUUCAAUUGAAAGUGCAUUGCAGGGUGAUGAAAGAUGUGUGCUUGAUACUAUGCGUUUGGUUGACCUUCUCUUGGUGCUAUUAUUUGAAGGACGAAAAGCUUUGCCAAAGUCUAGUGCUGGAUCUACAGGCAGAAUCCCAGGACUCCGGAGAUUAGAUAGUUCUGGGGAGCGCUCACAUCGGCAGCUUAUAGAUUGUAUUCGAAGUAAAGAUACCGAUGCACUUAUAGAUGCAAUUGACACAGGAGCCUUUGAAGUAAAUUUUAUGGAUGAUGUAGGUCAGACUCUAUUAAACUGGGCCUCUGCUUUUGGAACUCAGGAAAUGGUAGAAUUUCUUUGUGAGAGAGGUGCAGAUGUUAAUAGAGGUCAAAGGUCAUCAUCAUUACAUUAUGCUGCAUGUUUUGGAAGACCUCAAGUAGCAAAGACUCUGUUACGGCAUGGUGCAAAUCCAGAUCUGAGAGAUGAAGAUGGGAAAACUCCAUUAGAUAAAGCUCGAGAAAGGGGCCAUAGUGAAGUGGUAGCUAUUCUUCAGUCUCCAGGUGAUUGGAUGUGUCCAGUUAAUAAAGGAGAUGAUAAGAAAAAGAAAGAUAC